rnacentral:rRNA from 1 species
CAAGACCUUGCGCNNUUUGGAGCGGCCGAUGCCUGAUUAGCUAGUUGGUGAGGUAAAGGCUUACCAAGGCUUCGAUCAGUAGCUGGUCUGAGAGGACGACCAGCCACACUGGGACUGAGACACGGCCCAGACUCCUACGGGAGGCAGCAGUGGGGAAUUUUGGACAAUGGGGGAAACCCUGAUCCAGCCAUGCCGCGUGAGUGAAGAAGGCCUUCGGGUUGUAAAGCUCUUUCAGCCGGAACGAAACGGUCACGGCUAAUACCUGUGAUCACUGACGGUACCGGAAGAAGAAGCACCGGCUAACUACGUGCCAGCAGCCGCGGUAAUACGUAGGGUGCAAGCGUUAAUCGGAAUUACUGGGCGUAAAGCGUGCGCAGGCGGUUUUGUAAGUCAGAUGUGAAAUCCCCGGGCUUAACCUGGGAACUGCG